rnacentral:rRNA from 1 species
CUACAGGGGUAUCUAAUCCUGUUCGCUCCCCACGCUUUCGCUCCUCAGUGUCAGUAACGGCCCAGUGACCUGCCUUCGCCAUCGGUGUUCCUCCUGAUAUCUGCGCAUUCCACCGCUACACCAGGAAUUCCAGUCACCCCUACCGCACUCAAGCCCGCCCGUACCCACCGCAGACCAACAGUUAAGCUGCUGGCUUUCACGACAGACGCGACGAACCACCUACGAGCUCUUUACGCCCAAUAAAUCCGGACAACGCUCGCGCCCUACGUAUUACCGCGGCUGCUGGCAC